rnacentral:sRNA from 1 species
UCAUUUAAAGUUCGGCUGGCAUACGCUAC